GAUGAACGCUGGCUACAGGCUUAACACAUGCAAGUCGUGGGGAAACGGCAUUAUGUGCUUGCACAUUCUGGACGUCGACCGGCGCACGGGUGAGUAUCGCGUAUCCAACCUGCCCCUUACUUGGGGAUACCCCGUUGAAAGACGGCCUAAUACCCGAUGUGUUUCAUUGACGGCAUCCGAUAUGAAACAAAGGUUUUCCGGUAAGGGAUGGGGAUGCGUCUGAUUAGCUAGUUGGCGGGGCAACGGCCCACCAAGGCGACGAUCAGUAGGGGUUCUGAGAGGAAGGUCCCCCACAUUGGAACUGAGACACGGUCCAAACUCCUACGGGAGGCAGCAGUGAGGAAUAUUGGUCAAUGGACGCAAGUCUGAACCAGCCAAGUAGCGUGCAGGAUGACGGCCCUAUGGGUUGUAAACUGCUUUUAUGUGGGAAUAAAGUGGCGCACGUGUGCGCCAUUGCAU
rnacentral:rRNA from 1 species